CUGUCGCACCACGAGGCGCUGUC
rnacentral:snRNA from 1 species